CUCUGCUGCCACUUCCUUAUAGCUGUGUCAAGCCACUACCACAACAACCUGAGACAACAUCCCAGAAUGUGGAGUCUCCAGCAGCGCCAGAGACCUCCUGGUUUCAGACUUGGAAUUGCUGACUAACAGAUGAUUACAGCGGGCAAUGGACAUGAAGUUCUCUGACCACCCAGUCACUGCAAUGGAGUGAGAGGAGAGAUGUUACAUGACCUCUAGAAAGACCAGGACAUCUUUUUCCUUGACUGGCCUAUCUUAUCAUUUCUGAAAUGUCAUUUAAUUAACUUUUGAGUGACGCUGUUUGUUUUGUUGUUGUUGUUG
ensembl:lincRNA uncharacterized LOC106149301